UACGUAGGUGGCAAGCGUUACUCGGAAUCACUAGGCGUAAAGCGCAGGUAGGAGGUUUGGUAAGUCUGUUGUGAAAGCUCCCGGCUCAACUGGGAGAGGUCAACGGAAACUACCAGGCUAGAGUGUGGUAGAGGUAGCUGGAAUUCCCGGUGUAGCGGUGAAAUGCGUAGAUAUCGGGAGGAAUACCUAUGGCGAAAGCAGGCUACUGGACCACCACUGACUCUGAUCUGCGAAAGCUAGGGGAGCAAACAGG
rnacentral:rRNA from 1 species